GUGUGAAAGGUCGUAAAGAAGAUGGCGCCGUCCAGGUCGAAACAUGCCAACCAGACUUGUGUUAUUCCAGGAGGUUUUACGGGUAACCAUUGCUAAGAUAACACACGUAAACGGAAAAUGUGUCAAAAAAUAUAAUUUGAGUGCUUUCUCUACAGUUCAGUACUGACAUUGUUGCCCAGCACAAAAUAUGUGUAAAAGAGCACAGAGUGCGAGCAGAGAAAACCACACAAAGACCCCUCGACAGAACACUGUUUGUCCUUAACAUUCCUCCAUAUUGCUCUGAGGGUGUCAUAAAGGAGCUCUUCUCUCAGUUUGGUCCUGUUCAGUCUGUGGAGCUGAGGGAGAAGCCAGGGUCCUUUGAGCACUCAGGACCCAAACUAGCCAAGUAUUUCACACCAGCACAAAAACAGAGGUUCAGAGUGGGUUACAUCGUGUUUCAGAAGGCCAUCAGUAUUACAGCAGUGAAGUCCCAUCCCCAUGAUGUCCCAUUGGUUGUUUCCACAGAGCAGCGACCUGUGUGGACAGGUCUACAGAAAUGGAUUCAUCAGUACAAGCAGUCAUUUGCUCAGCCAGACAAACUACAGGAGGCAGUUGACACCUUCAUGCAGGAUUACGAUACGAGAAAAGAACAGGAGGCAGAGCGACAAAAGGAGGAGGCUGAGGAGCAGCUGGAGGAUGAGGAGGGAUGGGUAAAAGUUACCAGGGGUAAAAGCGGGACCAAGACCCGCCCCCACAGUGAGGUAUCCAAUCAGAAAGCUCUGCAGAAGGAGAGCAGAAAAAGGAAGCGGAAGGAGCUCAUGAACUUCUACACCUGGCAGCACAGAAACACACAGAAAGAACACAUCGCUGAACUGAGAAAAAAGUUUGAGGAAGACAAACAGCGAAUUGCUUUGCUAAGAGCACAGAGGAAGUUCCGACCUUACUGAAUCAACAGUUUCUUCUGAGAUUCUCCCCACCAUUGAUGUCAAUAAAUCCAUUUUUAUAGUUUGUCACUGAUACAGUAAUUUAUGGAGUCUACAAGUUUGAUUGGUAUUCGAUUGAAAAGUUGUGAAUCAAUACCUUAGGAUCACUUCAGGUUUUCCAACACCCUUAUAUUCUGCUCUUUCUGGGGCUGUAGGAUAGGAGGCUUUAAUAUCUGAUAUUUACUUUUCGGGUGCAGCACUAUGCACUCAGUUUACGUGACCUUUACCAAAGUGUCAAAUGCAAACUGGAUGCAUUGGAAUGCACAUGGCCAGUGAAGGUAUUUAAAGGUAGUUGAAAUAAAUACCAAUUGUAAUUAAGUGUU